AGUGAACGCUGGCGGUAGGCCUAACACAUGCAAGUCGAACGGCAGCACAGUAAGAGCUUGCUCUUACGGGUGGCGAGUGGCGGACGGGUGAGGAAUACAUCGGAAUCUACUUUUUCGUGGGGGAUAACGUAGGGAAACUUACGCUAAUACCGCAUACGACCUACGGGUGAAAGCAGGGGAUCUUCGGACCUUGCGCGAUUGAAUGAGCCGAUGUCGGAUUAGCUAGUUGGCGGGGUAAAGGCCCACCAAGGCGACGAUCCGUAGCUGGUCUGAGAGGAUGAUCAGCCACAAGGGAACGGAGACACGGUCCAGACUCCUACGGGAGGCCGCAGUGGGGAAUAUUGGACAAUGGGCGCAAGCCUGAUCCAGCCAUACCGCGUGGGUGAAGAAGGCCUUCGGGUUGUAAAGCCCUUUUGUUGGGAAAGAAAAGCAGCAGGUUAAUACCCCGCUGUUCUGACGGUACCCAAAGAAUAAGCACCGGCUAACUUCGUG
rnacentral:rRNA from 1 species